GUGCUCACUUUGGCAGCAAGUAUACUAAAAUUAGAACGAUACAGAGAAGAUUAGCGUGGCCCCUGCGCAAAGAUGACAUAAAAAUUCUUUGGUGCAGUUUUACUCUGAU